CCUGUAACACCUCCAGCUGAGCGGAAGCGGCCGGCGGGGAGCGGGGGACGCCCGGUCCCGGUGCUGCACUCAUCAUAUAAAGGCAACUAUUGUAUGGACGGAGCCAGCUGAUCUACUGAUCUAUGUGUUGACUUUGCAACCAAGAUUGCUGAUCACCAUGAGGCUGAUUUAGAGUUGCACAGAAACAGAUGAAGAUCUUUGCCAUUUGCAGAGUUGUAUGCAUACUGUAUGGGGCUUUUUAACUGGUCCCUGACUGAACCCCAAUGCAGCACGGCAAAGACAGAUGCUGGCUUACUCUGGCACACAUUCCAGUAGAGUGGAGCGCCUGUACUUGUGAACAUCAUCCCAACAGAUAUAUAAGCAGUCCGAACUUCCAGCAGAUGUUUGUUCUGCUUUUACUGCCAAAGGGAUAGGUGUUUUGAUUAACAGCUUGUUGAAUGUAACGCAGAGAUCAUGUGAUUAGCAGUUUUCUGCAGGGAUACUUGUUAGGUGUUAUGCACGUUGUCUUUCAUUAGACAAGAAACCUUCUUGCGUGAAUCUUUUUCAGUGUUCUUACAGAGAAACUUUCAGGCAAGGAUUCUCAUACUGUAUGAAAUGAUCAUUUUUUAUCAUACCAUCUAAACUGUAAGCUCUAAUAAGCAGGGCCCUCUCUACACUUAGUCUCAUGUCUGUAGCUCCUUCAUUGACAUCAUCUGUAUGUGUUCUCUUAUUUGCAACUGUAUUUCUUAUGAUAUGUAACUCUUGCAGUCCGGCACUAUAGAGAUUUAUGGUGCCUUACAAUUGAACUAAGGUGAUUUCUUCUGUGAGUGGACAGCACCAUUGUGCACCUAGCACCACUUUAUUAAAUGAGCCCCACAAAGUUCAAUUAACUAAAUUCCCAUGGUUAAGCAAUCAUUUUUAUUUGAUCAGUUUAUACUAAAUAAAUAAAUCUAAUUAGUGA